rnacentral:rRNA from 1 species
AUUGAACGCUGGCGGCAGGCUUCACACAUGCACGUCGAGCGAGCGGCGGACGGGUGAGUCAUGUCUGGGAAACUGCCUGAUGGAGGGGGAUAACUACUGGAAACGGUAGCUAAUACCGCAUACCAUCAGAUGUGCCCAGAUGGGAUUAGCUAGUAGGUGGGGUAAUGGCUCACCUGGGCGACGAUCCCUAGCUGGUCUGAGAGGAUGACCAGCCACAAUGGAACUGAGACACGGUCCAGACGCCUACGGGAGGCAGAAGUGGGGAAUAUGGCACGAUGGGCGAAAGCCUGAUGCAGCAAUGCCGCGUGUGUGAAGAAGGCCUUCGGGUGGUAAAGCACUUUCAGCGAGGAGGCGUUACUCGCAGAAGAAGCACCGGCUAACUCCGUGCCAGCAGCCGCGGUAAUAC